rnacentral:rRNA from 1 species
GUGGGGUGAUGGCCUACCAAGGCGACGACGGGUAGCCGGCCUGAGAGGGCGACCGGCCACACUGGGACUGAGACACGGCCCAGACUCCUACGGGAGGCAGCAGUGGGGAAUCUUGCGCAAUGGGCGAAAGCCUGACGCAGCGACGCCGCGUGAGGGAUGACGGCCUUCGGGUUGUAAACCUCUUUCAGCCCUGACGAAGCGAAAGUGACGGUAGGGGCAGAAGAAGCACCGGCCAACUACGUGCCAGCAGCCGCGGUAAUACGUAGGGUGUAAGCGUUGUCCGGAAUUAUUGGGCGUAAAGAGCUCGUAGGCGGUCUGUCGCGUCGGCUGUGAAAACUCGGGGCUCAACUCCGAGCUUGCAGUCGAUACGGGCAGGCUAGAGUUCGGCAGGGGAGACUGGAAUUCCUGGUGUAGCGGUGAAAUGCGCAGAUAUCAGGAGGAACACCGGUGGCGAAGGCGGGUCUCUGGGCCGAUACUGACGCUGAGGAGCGAAAGCGUGGGGAGCGAACAGGAUUAGAUACCCUGGUAGUCCACGCCGUAAACGUUGGGCGCUAGGUGUGGGAUCCCUUCCACGGGUUCCGUGCCGCAGCUAACGCAUUAAGCG